ACGCUGGCGGCAGGCCUAACACAUGCAAGUCGAGCGGAUGAAGGGAGCUUGCUCCCUGAUUCAGCGGCGGACGGGUGAGUAAUGCCUAGGAAUCUGCCUGGUAGUGGGGGACAACGUCUCGAAAGGGACGCUAAUACCGCAUACGUCCUACGGGAGAAAGUGGGGGAUCUUCGGACCUCACGCUAUCAGAUGAGCCUAGGUCGGAUUAGCUAGUUGGUGAGGUAAUGGCUCACCAAGGCGACGAUCCGUAACUGGUCUGAGAGGAUGAUCAGUCACACUGGAACUGAGACACGGUCCAGACUCCUACGGGAGGCAGCAGUGGGGAAUAUUGGACAAUGGGCGAAAGCCUGAUCCAGCCAUGCCGCGUGUGUGAAGAAGGUCUUCGGAUUGUAAAGCACUUUAAGUUGGGAGGAAGGGCAUUAACCUAAUACGUUAGUGUUUUGACGUUACCGACAGAAUAAGCACCGGCUAACUCUGUGCCAGCAGCCGCGGUAAUACAGAGGGUGCAAGCGUUAAUCGGAAUUACUGGGCGUAAAGCGCGCGUAGGUGGUUUGUUAAGUUGGAUGUGAAAUCCCCGGGCUCAACCUGGGAACUGCAUCCAAAACUGGCAAGCUAGAGUAGGGCAGAGGGUGGUGGAAUUUCCUGUGUAGCGGUGAAAUGCGUAGAUAUAGGAAGGAACACCAGUGGCGAAGGCGACCACCUGGGCUCAUACUGACACUGAGGUGCGGAAGCGUGGGGAGCAAAC
rnacentral:rRNA from 1 species